UACAGAGGUCCCGAGCGUUGUUCGGAUUCACUGGGCGUAAAGGGUGCGUAGGUGGCAUGGUAAGUUUGAUGUGAAAGCUCAGGGCUUAACCCUGAAAUGGCAUUGAAUACUACUGUGCUGGAGGUUUGGAGGGGGGACUGGAAUUCUUGGUGUAGCAGUGAAAAUGCGUAGAUAUCAAGAGGAACACCAGUGGCGAAGGCGAGUCCCUGGACAACACCUGACACUGAGGCACGAAAGCUAGGGGAGCAAACAGG
rnacentral:rRNA from 1 species